AUCUUGUUUAAACUUUGUACCAUCUUCAGUGAAUACCUGUGUCCAUUCUUUUCCAGAUUUUGCUGUUACCAUUCAAGAUACCAUUCCAUGAAUAAUACAUGGAAGACCUCAGGACACGGUUUCAAGCUUUAACUCUGUGCUGGGCAGACAAGCAGGGAAGACAUUGAGCAGAAGAAACAAUAUAUCCCAAGGAUUGAAACCCUACCAUGUGUAUUCAGCCAGCACUAAGGGUUGGACUUCUUUUGGAGGAAGAGAGAGAGGGGAAGGAAAGGAAGAGGAGAAGGAGAAGAGAAAUAGAGG